UAUCCGGAAAUAAAUGCGAUCCAACUGCAGAAUAUCCUGAACCACAUGCCCUGGUCAGGUCUAGGAAGCAAACAGCCUGUCUUCAGCCUUGAGGCCUGUCAGGGUAUCCUGGCCCUGCUGGAUCUUAACGCAUCCGGCACUGUGAGUAUCCAGGAAUUCAGGGACCUGUGGAAGCAGCUGAUGUUCUACCAGGAGGUUUUCCACAAGCAAGACACUAACCAGUCAGGAUCCCUGAAUUGGGCCCAACUACGGGCUGCCAUGAGGGAGGCAGGAAUCGUGCUCAGUGACGGCGUCUGCCAGCUGAUGCUUAUCCGCUACGGCGGCCCCGACCUCCAGAUGAACUUCGUCAGCUUUGUCCACUUGAUGCUGCGUGUGGAGAACAUGGAGGAUGUCUUCCAAAACUUGACCCAAGACGGCAAAGGGAUAUACCUCCAGAAGCCAGAGUGGCUAAUGAUGGCUCUGUACUGCUGAGAAGGCUGGAAGCUCACUGAUCCUCACUGAGGACUCUGCAUAUGGACCAAGGGUGGCCUUUAGCUGGGACCAACCCAUGUUCAACCCACCUACAUUUCUUCAGGACCGUGUCUCCAGCUAUCACCGUCUCAUCUGGGAGGAUGGGCAGCAUACAAAAAGAGAAGUGAGGGAGUAAAGAUUGCCUUGGGGUUGUCAAGACCAGCUCUUUUCCCCAGUGACCACAACCACAAGCAGAGACAUGGCCUGAGCUGACUGUGGGUUGGUGCGCUUAUCUUUGUAUGAUACGGCCUCCAUGGGAGUCUAACUUAAAUGACCUUAGAUGUGCUAUGUCAUCAUAUUUGGGGUAAGCGUCUAGGUCUCAAGAUCUGAAGAGGGAAUGAUAUGUCUACAGACAUAUGUAAAUUGGCAUCUAUAAACUGGUAGCAGCAUAGGCUAAGUUUUAACUGUCUAGGGGUGGAGUAGACCCAUAUUGCACUUUCAAGAGUGCAGAAAAUAAUAGAAUUGGCAAGGUUUGGGGGCAUGGGCUGGCCCUGGCCUCUGAGGUCACUGAGUGAUCUUCUGCUAACAAUAUCUCCAGAUAGUUGGAUUUGGUGUGUACCGGUAGAUUUGAAACAUCCAGCUUCUUAAAGGGCUUUCUGCAUAUGAUGGGUGUUAGUCUGUUUACCUGACCUAUGGGCUAUCAGAUCUACUUCAAAGAAAAAUAACAAAUCCAUGCUACAUCAUAGAGUUAAUCAGUAAAUGGUCAGUAUAUCUGUUUUGUGUUUUUUUAACUAUGUUCAUACCUCAUUUUCAUGGGAUCCCUACCAAUCCAGAACCCAGAUGGAAAACCAGAGCACUGGCCAUUUUCCAAGGCCAUACAUUCUAUUUAUAAGUUAGCAACCUAGAGCCAUUCUUAAAAUUCUAUUUAUUAUUCAUUUACAAACUGUUCUAACCAUUGAGACUGCCUGGUUUCCAGGCCCAUAGCAGAUUAAAGGAGGAGGCUGAAAGGGGGAGAUCAAAGGGUGUCUUUUGGAAGAACUAAAGGAAAUUUGACAGCCUGGUAGAUGGGCAGUAUGGAAGAAAGAGGGAGCUCUUUCAAAGAAUGGCUCAGGGAGUAGAAAAGCAUUUUAUUUAGAAAAACCUUUAUUUAUUCCAAGUGAUGAAAAAUACAACAGUUUGUCAUAAAGUGCCAUGUAUACUACUACUUGAGUAUUACUGAUUUUAUAAAUAGUGAUCCUGUAUUUAUAUUUUUUAAAGAGUUAUAUGUUUGUUUAUUUAUCAAUAUCUCUAUCUUUAGAUUCUGCCAUUGUAAAUAUUUG
ensembl:lincRNA